rnacentral:rRNA from 1 species
CUGGUUGAUCCUGCCAGAGGUUACUGCUAUCGGGGUCCGACUAAGCCAUGCGAGUUGAGAGGGGUAAGCCCUCGGCAUACUGCUCAGUAACACGCGGAUAACCUGCCCUUGGGUCCGGGAUAACCCCGGGAAACUGGGACUAAUACCGGAUAGAUCAGAGAAACUGGAAUGUUCUCUGGUCCAAAACUCCGGUGCCCAAGGAUGGGUCUGCGGCCUAUCAGGUAGUAGUGGGUGUAACGUACCUACUAGCCAGCGACGGGUAAGGGUUGUGAGAGCAAGAUCCCUGAGAUGGAUUCUGAGACAUGAAUCCAGGCCCUACGGGGUGCAGCAGGCGCGAAAACUUUACACUGCGGGAAACCGCGAUAAGGGGACCCCGAGUGCCAGCACCUAGUGCUGGCUGUCCUACUGUCUAAAUAACAGUGGUUAGCAAGGGCCGGGCAAGACCGGUGCCAGCCGCCGCGGUAACACCGGCGGCCCGAGUGGUAACCGUUUUUAUUGGGUUUAAAGGGUCCGUAGCCGGCUUACUAAGUCUCUUGGGAAAUCUGGCGGCUCAAUCGUCAGGCGGCCAAGAGAUACUGGUAGGCUUGGGACCGGGAGAGGUGGGAGGUACUCCAGGGGUAGGGGUGAAAUCUCGUAAUCCUUGGGGGACCACCGAUGGCGAAGGCAUCCCACCAGAACGGGUCCGACGGUGAGGGACGAAAGCUGGGGGCACGAACCGGAUUAGAUACCCGGGUAGUCCCAGCUGUAAACGAUGCUCGCUAGGUGUCAGGUGCGGUGCGACCGCAUCUGGUGCCGCAGUGAAAACUUGAAGCGAGUCACCUGGGAAGUACGGUCGCAAGGCUGAAACUUAAAGGAAUUGGCGGGGGAGCACUACAACGGGUGGAGCCUGCGGUUCAAUUGGAUUCAACGCCGGG